rnacentral:misc_RNA from 1 species
AACGCACAUUGCGCCCUUUGGCAUUCCGAGGGGCAUGCCCGUUCGAGCGUCAUUAAAUCCAAUCAAGCCCGGCUUGGUGUUGGGCGUCGGGGUCCCCGCGCCUCAAUUUCACCGGCUGGCCGUCGCCCGUUUCAGCGUUGUGACACACUUCUCGCUGCCGACGGGAACGGACCACGCCGUUAAAACCCCACGAAUUUCAAUCGAAAUUUGAUUAAGAUUGACCUCGGAUCGGGUAGGAAUACCCGCUGAACUUAA